CCGGCACAAGCGGUGGAGCAUGUGGUUAAUUCGAAGCAACGCGAAGACUUACCAGGCUUGACAUCCCGAUGCUAUUUCUAGAGAUAGAAAGUUACUUCGGUACAUCGGUGACAGGUGGUGCAUGGUUGUCGUCAGCUCGUGUCGUGAGAUGUUGGGUUAAGUCCCGCAACGAGCGCAACCCCUAUUGUUAGUUGCCAUCAUUCAGUUGGGCACUCUAGCGAGACUGCCGGUAAUAAACCGGAGGAAGUGGGGAUGACGUCAAAUCAUCAUGCCCCUUAUGACCUGGGCUACACACGUGCUACAAUGGUUGGUACAACGAGUUGCGAGUCGGUGACGGCGAGCUAAUCUCUUAAAGCCAAUCUCAGUUCGGAUUGUAGGCUGCAACUCGCCUACAUGAAGUCGGAAUCGCUAGUAAUCGCGGAUCAGCACGCCGCGGUGAAUACGUUCCCGGGCCUU
rnacentral:rRNA from 1 species